rnacentral:sRNA from 1 species
AAACAGACUCAGUGGCCUUGGAGAAGGAAGCUAGUCUAAAUGAUCAUGUCAUUCUUACUCAGGCAGUUACAAAGAGUGUUACACUGUGCCUUUAAGGAAAACUUUCCUUCAUCAUUCCUGUAAACGUGGACAUACAACUUCUCUCACCACAAAGGUUCUGCCUUAAAGGGCUUUCCUGGAGUGUCAAUAGGACCUCAGAAAAAGAGAACCUGAGGGGACUUCCAGCUGCAGAAGGAGUAAGUGAACCGUGAAGCAGAAUCACCUUUGCUGAAGUCAAAGAGGGGCAGCUUUUUGCAAUCUUUGCAUUUGCAACAUGCGGUGGCUAUUCCGGAGGCCUGCGGCUGAGUGUGGACUGUGUCAACAAGACAGAAAGUAACCUCAGCAUCGACAUAGCGUUUGCCUACCCAUUCAGGUUGCAUCAGGUGACGUUUGAGGUGCCCACCUGCGAGGGAAAGGAACGGCAGAAGCUGGCAUUGAUUGGUGACUCCUCGUCUUCAGCAGAGUUCUUCGUCACUGUUGCUGUCUUCGCCUUCCUCUACUCUUUGGCUGCCACUGUCGUUUACAUU